rnacentral:rRNA from 1 species
UACGUAGGGGGCUAGCGUUGUCUGGAAUCAUUGGGCGUAAAGCGCGUGUAGGCGGUCCGGUAAGUCCGCUGUGAAAGUCGAGGGCUCAACCCUCGAAUGCCGGUGGAUACUGUCGGGCUUGAGUACGGGAGAGGCGAGUGGAAUUCCUGGUGUAGCGGUGAAAUGCGCAGAUAUCAGGAGGAACACCGAUUGCGAAGGCAGCUCGCUGGAACGUUACUGACGCUGAGACGCGAAAGCGUGGGGAGCAAACAGG